AACGAACGCUGGCGGUAUGCCUAACACAUGCAAGUCGAACGAGACCUUCGGGUCUAGUGGCGCACGGGUGCGUAACGCGUGGGAACCUGCCCUUAGGUUCGGAAUAACUCCCCGAAAGGGGUGCUAAUACCGGAUAAUGUCUUCGGACCAAAGAUUUAUCGCCUUUGGAUGGGCCCGCGUUGGAUUAGCUAGUUGGUGGGGUAAAAGCCUACCAAGGCGACGAUCCAUAGCUGGUCUGAGAGGAUGAUCAGCCACACUGGGACUGAGACACGGCCCAGACUCCUACGGGAGGCAGCAGUGGGGAAUAUUGGACAAUGGGCGAAAGCCUGAUCCAGCAAUGCCGCGUGAGUGAUGAAGGCCUUAGGGUUGUAAAGCUCUUUUACCCGGGAUGAUAAUGACAGUACCGGGAGAAUAAGCUCCGGCUAACUCCGUG
rnacentral:rRNA from 1 species